GACGAACGCUGGCGGCGUGCUUAACACAUGCAAGUCGAACGCGCCUGUCCUCUGGGUUUCUGGGGGGUGGGUGAGUGGCGAACGGGUGAGUAACACGUGAGUAACCUGCCCCCUUCUUCGGGAUAACGGUCUGAAAGGGCUGCUAAUACCGGGUAUUCACUGGUCUCCGCAUGGGGUCUGGUGGAAAGGUUUUUUUCUGGUGGGGGAUGGGCUCGCGGCCUAUCAGCUUGUUGGUGGGGUGAUGGCCCACCAAGGCUUUGACGGGUAGCCGGCCUGAGAGGGUGACCGGUCACAUUGGGACUGAGAUACGGCCCAGACUGCUACGGGAGGCAGCAGUGGGGAAUAGUGCACAAUGGGCGCAAGCCUGAUGCAGCGACGCCGCGUGAGGGAUGGAGGCCUUCGGGUUGUGAACCUCUUUCGCCCGUGGUCAAGCCGCGACGUGGGUCGUGGUGAGGGUAGUGGGUAAAGAAGCGCCGGCUAACUACGUG
rnacentral:rRNA from 1 species